CUACGGAGGGUGCAAGCGUUACUCGGAAUCACUGGGCGUAAAGCGCGCGCAGGCGGUCUUUUAAGUUGGAUGUGAAAGCCUACGGCUCAACCGUAGAACUGCAUCCAAAACUAUUAGACUAGAGUGUGGGAGAGGAAGAUGGAAUUAGUUGUGUAGGGGUAAAAUCCGUAGAGAUAACUAGGAAUACCAAAAGCGAAGGAAUCUUCUGGAACACUACUGACGCUGAGGCGCGAAAGCGUGGGGAGCAAACAGGAUUAGAAACCCUAGUAGUCC
rnacentral:rRNA from 1 species